CGAAGGGGGCUAGCGUUGUUCGGAAUUACUGGGCGUAAAGCGCGUGUAGGCGGUUGUUCAAGUCGGGUGUGAAAGCCUUGAGCUCAACUCAAGAAAUGCACUCGAUACUGAAUGACUAGAGGACCGGAGAGGAUAGUGGAAUUCCCAGUGUAGUGGUGAAAUACGUAGAGAUUGGGAAGAACACCAGUGGCGAAGGCGGCUAUCUGGACGGUUUCUGACGCUAAGACGCGAAAGCGUGGGGAGCAAACAGGAUUAGAUACCCUGGUAGUCCACGCCGUAAACGAUGGGUGCUAGACGUUGGCGAGCUUGCUCGUCAGUGUCGCAGCUAACGCGUUAAGCACCCCGCCUGGGGAGUACGGCCGCAAGGUUG
rnacentral:rRNA from 1 species